rfam:Rothia mucilaginosa DY-18 DNA, complete genome.
GAACCUCCUCUAAUGAGACCAGGCCGAGUGCACCAGUACUCGGCACCACUUCGAAGAAGAAGGA